CCUACGGGAGGCAGCAGUGGGGAAUUUUGGACAAUGGGUGCAAGCCUGAUCCAGCAAUGCCGCGUGAGUGAAGAAGGCCUUCGGGUUGUAAAGCUCUUUUGUCAGGGAAGAAACGGUGAGGGCUAAUAUCUCUUGCUAAUGACGGUACCUGAAGAAUAAGCACCGGCUAACUACGUGCCAGCAGCCGCGGUAAUACGUAGGGUGCAAGCGUUAAUCGGAAUUACUGGGCGUAAAGCGUGCGCAGGCGGUUUUGUAAGUCUGUCGUGAAAUCCCCGGGCUCAACCUGGGAAUUGCGAUGGAGACUGCAAGGCUAGAAUCUGGCAGAGGGGGGUAGAAUUCCACGUGUAGCAGUGAAAUGCGUAGAGAUGUGGAGGAACACCGAUGGCGAAGGCAGCCCCCUGGGUCAAGAUUGACGCUCAUGCACGAAAGCGUGGGGAGCAAACAGGAUUAGAUACCCUGGUAGUCCACGCCCUAAACGAUGUCUACUAGUUGUCGGGUUUUAAUUAACUUGGUAACGCAGCUAACGCGUGAAGUAGACCGCCUGGGGAGUACGGUCGCAAGNUUAAAACUCAAAUGAAUUGACGG
rnacentral:rRNA from 1 species